rnacentral:rRNA from 1 species
AACGAACGCUGGCGGCAUGCCUAACACAUGCAAGUCGAACGAGAUCUUCGGGUCUAGUGGCGCACGGGUGCGUAACGCGUGGGAAUCUGCCCUUUGGUUCGGAAUAACAGUUGGAAACGACUGCUAAUACCGGAUGAUGACGAAAGUCCAAAGAUUUAUCGCCAGGGGAUGAGCCCGCGUAGGAUUAGCUUGUUGGUGUGGUAAAGGCGCACGAAGGCGACGAUCCUUAGCUGGUUAGAGAGGAUGAUCAGCCAGACUGGGACUGAGACAUGGCCCAGACUCCGACGGGAGGCAGCAGUGGGGAAUAUUGGACAAUGGGCGAAAGCCUGAUCCAGCAAUGCCGCGUGCGUGAUGAAGGCCUUAGGGUUGUAAAGCUCUUUUACCCGGGAUGAUAAUGACAGUACCGGGAGAAUAAGCUCCGGCUAACUCCGUGCCAGCAGCAGCCGCAG